UGGGGAAUAUUGCACAAUGGGGGGAACCCUGAUGCAGCGACGCCGCGUGAGUGAAGAAGUAUUUCGGUACGUAAAGCUCUAUCAGCAGGGAAGAAAAAAGGACGGUACCUGAGUAAGAAGCCCCGGCUAACUACGUGCCAGCAGCCGCGGUAAUACGUAGGGGGCAAGCGUUAUCCGGAAUUACUGGGUGUAAAGGGAGCGUAGACGGCAAUGCAAGUCCGGAGUGGAAUGCGGCAGCUCAACUGCCGAACUGCUCUGGAAACUGUAUGGCUUGAGUGCAGGAGGGGUAAGCGGAAUUCCUGGUGUAGCGGUGAAAUGCGUAGAUAUCAGGAGGAACACCGGUGGCGAAGGCGGCUUACUGGACUGUAACUGACGUUGAGGCUCGAAAGCGUGGGGAGCAAACAGG
rnacentral:rRNA from 1 species